CUACGGGUCGCACCAGUCGAGAAUCAUCCGCAAUGGGCGAAAGCCUGACGGUGCAAUGCCGCGUGGGGGAUGAAGGCCCUCGGGUCGUAAACCCCUGUCAGGAGGGACGAAGAAGUGACGGUACCUCCAGAGGAAGCCACGGCUAACUACGUGCCAGCAGCCGCGGUAAUACGGUAGGUGGCGAGCGUUAUUCGGAUUUACUGGGCGUAAAGGGUCCGCAGGGGGUUUGCCAAGUCUGGUGUGAAAUCUCACAGCUCAACUGUGAAACCGCGCUGGAUACUGGUGAACUAGAGUGCGCGAGGGGUGAGUGGAAUUCCUGGUGUAGCGGUGGAAUGCGUAGAUAUCAGGAAGAACACCAACGGCGAAGGCAGCUCACUGGCGCGCAACUGACCCUCAUGGACGAAAGCGUGGGUAGCAAACAGGAUUAGAUACCCGCGUAGUC
rnacentral:rRNA from 1 species